rnacentral:rRNA from 1 species
UACGUAGGUGGCGAGCGUUAUCCGGAAUUAUUGGGCGUAAAGCGCGCGCAGGCGGUUUCUUAAGUCUGAUGUGAAAGCCCACGGCUCAACCGUGGAGGGUCAUUGGAAACUGGGAAACUUGAGUGCAGAAGAGAAGAGUGGAAUUCCACGUGUAGCGGUGAAAUGCGUAGAGAUGUGGAGGAACACCAGUGGCGAAGGCGACUUUCUGGUCUGUAACUGACACUGAGGCGCGAAAGCGUGGGGAGCAAACAGG